rnacentral:lncRNA from 1 species
ACCCAAAGGGUCAGGAGAAGCCCAAGAGGAAGAGGACCCCGAGGUGGGGCGAGUGGCCAGGGACUUCUCCAAGGGGCGUCUGCGGCGCCCAGUCUUUCCUCUGGGGGGACGCCUCGUCCGCUCUGAUACCGAGGAGUCGGUGGAAGGCGGACGUGGGAGCUGUUUCGCCGCGCCCGCCGAGCUGCCCAGGCGAGCUCGCGACGCGCGAGCUGGUGUGUGCGCCCCCAGACUUAGCACUGCGUCCCACCGCUGCAGCUUCUGCACACGCGUGCUGUCUUGGUGACUAGAAAAGAAAAAGAAAAAACUCACGGAGGAAGGGCUGUCCACCCGCUCAGGAUAUUCACGCCAUUUAUCACGAUGCGCAACUUGAAUCCAUUCCCGCCGUUCCUUUUACACACAAAGCAUUGUGUUGAAAACUGUUUUGCACGUAAUAGGUGCGCAAAUACUUGUUUACUGCGCUUUGAAGAAAAAAAUGAGGAUUUCGAACGACAUAUUUGAUGAUCAGACAAGUGAUUACUUGUCAAAAUUUUAGCUAUUUAAGGGCCUGUUUUUACCCCUUAAUCCAUGUCGAUUGCUUACAAGCUGGUGUGCUAGGCACGGAAUGGGAUCCAACAGGUAAAAAUAGGAUGGAUCCCUACCUCAAGUAGCUUUUAGUAUUUGCUGUAUUCAGUUGGUUGCAGAAUACAAACUAGAGACUAUUGAAGGUAGUUGCUCUGUCAUUUACCACACUUUAGUGAGCUUCGUGAAGGUAGAGAUCUUGAUUUUUUCCUUAUUUUAUUCCAGCACCCAGAAGUAUCAACUAGCACAUAAGUGCUUAAUAAAUAAUUGUAUAAAUGACUAAGGGAUGACUGCCUUUCUCUUAAAUACAGUCUCU